CUGUCGUACGGGUGCGUAACGCGUAUGCAACCUACCUAUCACUGGGGGAUAGCCCGGGGAAACCCGGAUUAAUACCGCAUAACACAUUGGUGUAGCAUUACAUUAUUUGUUAAAGAUUUAUCGGUGGUAGAUGGGCAUGCGUUCGAUUAGCUAGUUGGUGCGGGUAACGGCCUACCAAGGCGACGAUCGAUAGGGGAGCUGAGAGGUUGAUCCCCACACGGGCACUGAGAUAUGGGCCCG
rnacentral:rRNA from 1 species